UGCGCAGGCGGGGAUGUAAGUCAGUGGUGAAAUACUGCCGCUCAACGGUAGAACUGCCAUUGAUACUGCAUCUCUUGAGUAUGGUUGAGGUAGGCGGAAUGUGUUGUGUAGCGGUGAAAUGCAUAGAUAUGACACAGAACGCCAAUUGCGAAGGCAGCUUACUAAACCAUUACUGGCGCUGAGGCACGAAAGCGUGGGGAGCGAACAGGAUUAGAUACCCUGGUAGUCC
rnacentral:rRNA from 1 species